UACGAGUGCCUCAAGCGUUAUCCGGAAUCAUUGGGCGUAAAGGAUGUGUAGGUGGUUGUGUUAGUCUUCUGUUAAAUUCUUCGGCUUAACCGGGGGCAUGCAGAGGAAACGGCACGACUAGAGGAUGCGAGGGGUCUGCGGAACUCAUAGUGUAGCGGUGAAAUGCGUUGAUGUUAUGGGGAACACCAAAAGCGAAGGCAGCAGACUGGAGCACUCCUGACACUGAAACAUGAAAGCGUGGGUCGCGAAUGGG
rnacentral:rRNA from 1 species